GGUGGCAAUCACAAAUGGUGCUCUCACCCGCGCGCGCUUCACCGACCACGUACUGUCUCGUUCCAUCGUACCCGUGUGUACCAAGGAUCGACUGAACGACACGACCAAUUCAUGAACCUUUGCAAUUGAAAAUUAACCCACCUUUGCUAAAUUAAUUCAUUCACCCAAAAAGCUCCUCUCCUCUGCUCCUCGAUGGAUCCCCUUUUCUUCCCCACCCAAACCGCCGCCGCCGCCGCCGCUCGGCCGGCCACCCUCUUCCCUCCCCGAAACCCCUACAAGCUCCCGCGCCCGACGAAUUGGACCGCCGCCGAUGACCUCCGCUCGCCCGCCCGCCAUCGACGACGCACAAGGAGGAGGAGGAACGGCGGGGCGGCCUCUUCUGCAGCGCCGCCCUUCUCACCGGCUCGAUCCGCCUCCAGCGGAGAGGGAGGACAACCUCCACGUCGCCAUCACCCUCCACGCCGCCAUAACGACCUCAAUCAAUUUCAUUCUGUAAUGGUUCCAUCCUGGUGUGAUGUCUAAUAUGACGAAAGGAGCCAACAUCAAGUUUACUUUCUUCCGUUCACCUGCCCGGGCUUGCUGCUGCCGGCGUCUUCCUGCUGCUGCUGCUGCCUCGGGUGCGCCCCUGGAGCCCUCCACUCCUCUGAGGUGAGCUUCAGCUCUUCUCUUCAGAGUGCUCUCAGCUACGUCCAGUGCCAUGGCGUUCUAAGGUCACGAAUUCGUCCUCAUACAUGUUAGCGUCCUGAUGAUUACUUGAAUUGGGCAACGAAUCUGCAGGAAAAAAUGCUCUAGAUUUUCUCAAUUUAGUCCCUCCUGAUAGCUUUGCUUGGUACCAAUUUAGCCUCUCUUUUUUGGGUAUUCGGACUGUAAGUGAACUAGCGUUGGUAUAUCUGCGAUGUGAUCUGCUUCUGUAGUCCCAUCUUUGAUUUCUCAUAUAAAAUGCAGCUUGCACUCUACUGGUCCCGGAGAGGCGCCUUCCCAAGGUGUUGAGAUUUGCAACUUCACUUUGGCGAGCAAGCUUGAUUUCUCCAACUAUCUUCAUUCGUGGAUGUAAUCAAACAAUCUUAUUAAUUUCGCCAAGUCCAAUUGCUCGCUGGAUGUACUACUAGUAUAUUCAUCAACAUGUCUGCCAACUAAUUAAAGCAACCUCCUGUCAAUUGUGUCUCUGCGCCUUAUACCGCAAGUUUUAUUCAGUUUCUAGUGACAGCCGCCAAAUCAGUUAUAUAGUUGAAAUCCACAUGAUGCAUUGCUGUUUUCUUAUAUGUUGACUGAAUUAACACAUGAAUGCCCUAGUGUUUGAUCGCCUCACAAAACAAAUCUGGAGCAGUAGCAACAAUGCACAUACACAUGAUAUGUAUGUCUUGUUUCUGCUACCUAGUUUCCAGUAUUUAUUCCAUAGAGGAGAAUCUUGAUCCGCUAAUAUGAAUUUCCCGAUACAUAUAAAACCGUGACUACUUCCACAUAGGUGCCUGCCAUCUUGGCACAACAAACGUGCUAUCCUGUUGUAGAUGUACCAGGGAUCCUGAUUAAUUAUUCUUGCUAAAUCUGCUCUAGAGCUGACCAUCAUGUUCUCUUCUUUUGCAUGAACAAUGAGGACAAGAUGACAGCCAUGGUAAGCUAGCUGGAACCUGCUGCUGCUGCUGCUUGGAAGGAAGGAAGCUAUAAGACCCUGGGACAAAGUGAUGGCAUAUACACCCCUUGCUCGAGCCAUCUCUAUGCAGCAGCUUUCUUUCUAGCGCCUUAAUUAUCAAUGCCAUCAUAUGGUUACAAUGCAUGAGCAGCCGACAUUUCUUGUAACGCAGUGGCAUGUGUUGUGUGUAAGCUCCAAGAAUGGUAUUGCAGGAACUUUGCUUUGCCUUGACAACGGUUGCUGGUUGGUUUUCUUGUUAAUUAGACUUGUGGUACAGUUGAUUGUAUGCUUGUAUGCCACAUGGGUUGUGCUUUAUGCACUGUUGGCUUAAUUGAGGUACUAUGUUAUUUGCCAUGCA